rnacentral:lncRNA from 1 species
CUGUUUUAAUAAGAGUCUCUGAGGAUUUUGGUAUCCUCAGUGACUGUACGUAGAGAGGAACACAUCACAGUGUCAACAGAAGAAAAUUACAGGGGUUAAAAAGCAAAAGGAUGAUACCUGAGACACAAGGAACUGAAGUGAUUCACAAACUAGAUGAGUAAGGCUCAUGAACUUCAAGUCCCAUCACCUAGCUACUAAGAGACAAAGCUUUUCACAUCUGGAAUCCCAGAAACUCUGGAGGCUGAGGCAGGAGGAUCAUGAGUUUGAGGCCAGCCUCAGCAACUUAGAGAAACCCUGUCUCUGAAAACAAAAAGAUAAAAAUAAAUUCCCGGUUCCCCAAACAAUCAAGCAAGCAAAGAAACAAAAGAAAACUUUUCCUUUAAAAAAAUUAAAUUCAUGAAAAUCUUUGUCCCCAAAUUCUGGCCAAGUAUCAAGAACCAAGAACUAGACUCUUAAGGACAUGGGAUUCUCUCUAAUGGAGGGGACACCUUUGUUCCAGAAGAGAUACUAGGAUCUGUGUGCUGAGCUGCUUGCAAGGCAGUGAGCACUUGGGACAGGGUACCCAAGCCAAGGAGGAUGGGUACCUGUGAUGAAUGGGGCAGAUUCUUGUUAUCAAGAGAAGAGAGGAAAAGGGAGAUUUGGGUUCUUUAAAAAUUUUCCACUUUGCUGAGAAUAUCUUUGAGUUUUAAUUCACAGCAACUGCUUCACAGAUAUGGAAACAUGGCUCAAUGGAGCAAGGUCUGUGAAUUCUCACCCUAAACCACAAUCCACCGCUCACUUCUCAACCAGUCAGUAUCCUGUUUCAUGCUUGGUUCCAUUUCUGAAAUAAGAAUAUAUAUAUCCUAACAUUACAGAGUGCAUGAUAAUUAAGAAAAGCGGACCUGAGAACUUAGAGAGGCGAAGGCUUAGUAGGUACAUUUUAGAAUUCAUGAAGAGUGUUCUGUAGCAAUAACUGAAUCCUUCAAGAGCCAUUGUAGGCAGGGUUGGCCCAAGGGAAAAUACGAUCUGACCCAAACGACAGGAGACAAGCACCCACUCCCAAGGAGGGAACGGCUUAUUCAAGAAAAGACAUCUGAAAGCAUAAACUACCUCGACACACAAAAAGAGACCUCUCAGGCACGUCUUCAGAGUCACAGAAUUACUUACUUCCAGGUAAGGUCAGUUCUUCCAAUUAACACUUCCAUUCAGGAAAACACGAGUCUUCCACUUGGUAUAGCUAGGGGCUGGACAUUCAUUUUGUCAUCUCAGGCAAGAAAUGAGAAAGAACAGUAAGAACUGGGGAUAUAUAGCUCAAUUGGUAGAGUGCUUGCCUCACAUGCACAAGGCCCUGGGUUCAAUCCCCAGCACCACACACAUACAAAAAAAUGUGGUUUAAGAAAGAACAGUAAAGAAAGAGCCACACCCUCAUCCCCACUGGCUUUCAUCAAUCGGUAGGUUGGAGUGUCCAGUAAUGUGUCUGACAAUAUAUUUGGUGGGUGAGAGAGGUUACAGUCCAUCUUACAGGAAGUUCCAAGCUUCUUAGGCUUGUCUGCACUCAUCUUUCCUUGGAUCUGAAGCAUCAUAUCAUUAAUGUAUGAGUAAGCGUCAUACCAGGAAAACAAGUUGAGGAAUUAAGCUUUUUGCUCAAAGACAGCAUUACAGAGGAAGUCAAGGGAUAGUGGGAAAUCACAUGGAAAUAUUUGUUUUCUGUACAUAGGUUCAGACACAAGUUAUCCCCACAAGGGCAUAAUCUGUCUUUCAAUCUGUAGGUGGAAAAUCCUUCUCUGCCUUCCCUUGAGAGGAGGAGAACUGGAUUUGAACAUAUCUCUCUUUGGUGCACGUGGUACCUCCCUUGCACUUCUUCAAAGCUAAGAGCGCUGGGACAACGAGGAGAUGCUUUCCCUUGGGUAACACUAUCACAUCAAGCAUGAUCUCUCUUGAAUCAACAGAGUUCAUAAGGAUCAUUCUCGUAUCAGGACAGCUAAAUGGACAAAUAAUAUCUAGGCUUCCAUGCAAGAAUGUUUGAUCAAUAAAACACUGGAAUUAGGGCAUUUUCCAUUAAUCAAAUUGCUUCACCAUUAAAAAGCCGAUCUAGGAAUGAGGUAAAAUUUCACGUGGCUGCCAAUGACUUGUUACCCAGUGAUGACCUUGGGUCAAGACGGAGAGAGCAUAUCCUGGGCUGACUUAGGCAGGACUUCAAAGCUGUGAUAUGAU